rnacentral:rRNA from 1 species
GCUUAGAAGCAGCCACCAUUUAAAAAGUGCGUAAUAGCUUACUAGUCGAGCACAUUCGCGCCGAAAAUUAGCGGGACUAAGCUUGUAACCGAAGCUGCGGGGCGUGACUUGUCACGUUGGUAGGGGAGCGUCGUACGCUAGGUUGAAGGGAUACCGUGAGGAGUCCUGGACGACGUACGAGUGAGAAUGCUGGCAUGAGUAACGAGAAAAUGAGUGAGAAUCUCAUUCGCCGUAAACCUAAGGUUUCCUGGGGAAGGCAAUUCCGCCCAGGGUAAGCCGGCCCCUAAGGCGAGGCCG